rnacentral:rRNA from 1 species
AUGAACGCUGGCGGCGUGCCUAAUACAUGCAAGUCGAGCGAACAGACGAGGAGCUUGCUCCUCUGACGUUAGCGGCGGACGGGUGAGUAACACGUGGAUAACCUACCUAUAAGACUGGGAUAACUUCGGGAAACCGGAGCUAAUACCGGAUAAUAUAUUGAACCGCAUGGUUCAAUAGUGAAAGACGGUUUUGCUGUCACUUAUAGAUGGAUCCGCGCCGCAUUAGCUAGUUGGUAAGGUAACGGCUUACCAAGGCGACGAUGCGUAGCCGACCUGAGAGGGUGAUCGGCCACACUGGAACUGAGACACGGGCCAGACUCCUACGGGAGGCAGCAGUAGGGAAUCUUCCGCAAUGGGCGAAAGCCUGACGGAGCAACGCCGCGUGAGUGAUGAAGGUCUUCGGAUCGUAAAACUCUGUUAUUAGGGAAGAACAAAUGUGUAAGUAACUAUGCACGUCUUGACGGUACCUAAGCAGAAAGCCACGGCUAACUACGU